rnacentral:rRNA from 1 species
CCUACGGGUGACUGCAGUCGAGAAUCAUUCACAAUGGGGGAAACCCUGAUGCUGCGACGCCGCGUGGGGGAAUGAAGGUCUUCGGAUUGUAAACCCCUGUCAUGUGGGAGCAAAUUAAAAAGCUAGUACCCCAAGAGGAAGAGACGGCUAACUCUGUGCCAGCAGCCGCGGUAAUACAGCGGUCUCAAGCGUUGUUCGGAAUCACUGGGCGUAAAGCGUGCGUAGGCUGUUUCGUAAGUCGUGUGUGAAAGGCGCGGGCUCAACCCGCGGACGGCACAUGAUACUGCGAGACUAGAGUAAUGGAGGGGGAACCGGAAUUCGCGGUGUAGCAGUGAAAUGCGUAGAUAUCGAGAGGAACACUGGUGGCGAAGGCGGGUUCCUGGACAUUAACUGACGCUGAGGCACGAAGGCGAGGGGAGCGAAAGGGAUUAGAUACCCCAGUAGUC